rfam:Colinus virginianus strain Texas jcf7180006227256, whole genome shotgun sequence.
GUGGGCUUUUGGCACAUGCCUGUAUUCCCAGCUACUCAGGAGACUGAGCUCGCUGGAUUGCUUGAGCCCAGGAGUUCUGGGCUGCAGUGCGCUAUGCCGAGCGGGCGUCCGCGCUAAGGCCAGCAUCAAUACGGUGAGCGUCAGGGAGCCGGGGCACACCAGGUUCCCUAAGGAGUGGUGAACCGGCCCAGGUCGGAAACGGAGCAGGUCAAAACUCCCAUGCUGGGCAGUAGCGGGAUCGCGCCUGUGAAUACCCACUGCAGCGUAGCAUGGGCAACACAGAGAGAUGCAGGCUUCU